UACGUAGGGGGCAAGCGUUGUCCGGAUUUAUUGGGCGUAAAGAGCGUGUAGGCGGCUUUACAGGUCCGUUUGUGAAAAACUCGAGGCUCAACCUCGAGACGCCGGUGGAAAACCGUAAGGCUAGAGUCCGGAAGAGGAGAGUGGAAUUCCUGGUGUAGCGGUGAAAAUGCGCAGAUAUCAGGGAGGGAAACACCCCCGUGGCGAAAAACGGCUCU
rnacentral:rRNA from 1 species